UUUUUUGUUUUUAUUUUAUUUAUUUUAUUUCCGUUAAUGAAAAUGUUUUUUCACUUCUAGUUUUCAUUAUUUCGUUAGUUUUCGUUAACGAUAAUAACCUUGGAGCUGAACUAAGGCUGCCAGCUUGGUGGGUAAAAAAAACUCUUAUUGGACCAAAUAUGGUUAAUUGUAGUGUUUCUUAAAGCAGCAG